UCUACAUUCUGUGUUGUGCGAUAACAAUUUACUUUUUCAAAUCAUACUAUUAUUAUUUAUUAGUUUAUUACUUGUAAUAUACAGUCAUAUUCUGUUUUAAAAUUUUUCAGUUUUACGAAUUAUUACACCUCGAGUCAUAGUGCCUAGAUAGUUCUUUGUGAGUGACAAAUCAACAAAUACUUAAAGGAAAUCUAAUGAUCUAAUCUUUCACAAAAAAGAGACACUAAAAUUCAUAAUAAUGGAUUUUGAAUUUUCAAUGGAGAAUAAAACAAGCUUGGUGGUUGUCUCCCGCGCUAUCUCAAAUAGCUUAAAUCGCUUCAAAAUUUGAAAACUUGAGGGUAGACCUUUAUUGUUACCCCUUAACUAAGAGGUAAGACCUAUGAGGAAUCAAGAGCUAUAGGUAACUAUUAAAGAGAUAAAGAGAAUAUUCAGAUGUAAAACGGAGAUACGAGAUACAUGUCUUGACCAGUUGAAUAAGAGUCUAAAACAAUCUUUAACACACGGGAAUGAUAUUUGCAUCAAAAAGAUUUUUAUCAGAUAUGUCUAUAGAUAGAGACAUUAACUCAAUUUAAUCUUAUAUUGAUGGAGAAUUGAAUGAUUUUUUAGUGGUGAACAAUCUAUGUUCAUAUGAUUCGAUAAAAUAUAAUAGAAUUUGUUCAUGUCAUUUUGAUUCUUCAAAAUGUAUUAAUUCUAAAUCUAAAAGACUAUAAGGUCGGAUGAAGUUUCAAGUUUAACUCCUGCUAAAUUUAAAUAGUAUAUUAAAAUUGUUGUGGAAUUAUGAAUGUCAACAUACUGCUAAAUAUCAGAUUUGUUAUGUCAACUUAUUUUCAAAAUAUUUAAGUACAGGUUUUUAGAAAUGAGAAGGUGCUAGAAAUAAAAUGAUGCCAAAAGAAUCUAACAAAAAAAAAUAAAAUAAAUGCUCCAGUACAUUUAUUUUAUACCAACGGUCAGUCAACUAAAGAUCCAAUAUUUAAUUUUCAAAUUGAUUUACUUGAUUUAUAUAAAAUAUUACUGUUUUAGAACUAUUACAAAAAAGGUAAAUAAUAUUAUAUUUUAUAAUUUGACAUGUUUAAUUGUAUUACUAUGAUAACAAAAUUAAAAUCAUUAAAGUUCUAGCUGGCAACUAAAGAAAAAUAUACUGCAGAAUGCUGUGAAAAUAGUAACUCUAAUUCCACAAUUCAAGAUUCAUUUGAAAUAUUUAUCAUGAUAACUCGAUAACAAUAUCAAAUAUUUUACAUGAAUAUCCACCUAAAAAUUAUGAAUGUAAUAACUUUGCUUCCACUACUCCAUAAACUGAUAAUAUGAUGAUGUAAUUAAUAAUUACCUAUAUAUAACUAAUUAUACAUAGGUUUUAAACAUGUGGGUCUAACUAUUGAUGAUGUAUCACAUAAUCGUAAUUAUAAUUUUAAUGCACCUGUUACUGCCACAUAUGGAAGCAAAUUAUUUUUAUCAUGUGACAUCAGUUAUAUAUCAGUAACAACUAAUUCAAGGCCUCCCUCACCUCUUGCCUUACUUACAAUUCGAACAUAUGACUAAAAAUAGCUAUUGAUAGGUUUCAAAAUCAUAUUCACCUAAUCCAACAACGAGGAAAAAUUUUUCAAAAUUUAUUAGACAAAGUUGAAAACAUUGAUAAAACCUAUGUGUCUAUUACUAUUGAACUUAUAUUACCAAAUAGGUAACCAGAAAACUCAAUAAAUUCAGCUAUUAUAUUAAAAUAUGCUCUUAGUGAGUAUUGGGAUAAUUUUUAUGAGACUUCAACUUCAAGAACUUUUUCAAAAAUACCUUGUUUGCGAUACAAUUUAAUACAUUUACAGCAAAUAACAAUUGCAAAAAUAUUUUUCAUAGGAUGGAUAAAAUAUUUUCCAGUAAAGCUUGUAUCAUCCUUUUUUGAAAAAGUAUUAUUUGGAUUUACUGUAUCUGACCUAAUUGAAGUAUUUUCACAAACAAACUAUGAAACUACUUUAAAAGAUUUUAAAAAUGUUGAUACAAACUAAUGGAUAUUUUAAGUGAUUUAAAUUGUAGAAAUAAUACAAAUAAUAAUUUUAAAAACAUAUUGGAAGAAAUUGCUCACAAAAAUUUAGGUACUAAAACCAAUGUUUAUAAUCGAUUGUUUUGUAGAAGAAUUAAAAGACUCAUCGCGUGAAAAAUAUAUUUAUUAUUAUUUCAUUACUAUUGAAAUAUUUGAAACUUUAAAUAAUAUGAAACCAAGUUCUUAAAAUGUUGUACCUAGUCUAAUUAAAUUUUAAUUUACGGAUUUAUAUACAACAAUGUCGUUAAGUAAUAAUUGUUACAAAUUUAAUCUUGUACCUAUUUGCUAAGCUUGAUUCGCCUAUCAAUUUAUGAUGGUUGUAAGUUAUUAAUUUAUAAUAAAUGUUCAGGUCUAACUGUGAGUGAACUUAAAUGUGUCACUUUGGAGAAUCGUCAUCUAAAAUGUAUUCGUAAAUCUUUUAAUAAUGAUCAAUGUGAUAUCCCCAAAUUGAAACAUUUAAUUAAUAGUCUAUUAAUUUAAGUUAAUGAUCUUAAAACUCAAAAACCUACAAUUUUGGAUCACAUCAUUUUAAAGAUUUCAUACUUAAUGAAAUGAACAUGACUAUUGGACCAAAAUAAAAUCUAUCCGAUGAAGGCUAUAUUUUCUUCAACAGUCGAUGUUAUUAUAUAUUUUAAAAUCAAAGAAAAAAUAGAUUAUCAUUACAAUCUCCUUUCAUCAUUUGUAUCAGUUCUGACUGUAUACUUUUCCAAAAAAAUUUCCUGAUGAAUUAAAGUUUCGAAGAAAUAAUGGAAAAGUACAUUUAAUUAUUAAGUUUCUAUAAGAUAAACCAAAAAUCGAUUUCAAGAAUAAUCGACCUAAUACUUGUGAUUUUAAUUCUUUAAAUUAUUUUUUAUAAUUAAUAUUUUUUACCAGAAUAUGUUUGGUGUUCUAGUAAUAAUUCCUUUUUUACGUAAUACUUUAUCAAUUGUUUAUUAUGGUAUAAUUUUUUUAAAUGAAAAAUGGUUAAAUAAUAAUGUACUUGAUGAGGAAAUUAGUUUUACAAAAUAUAAUUUAUAAAGAGAUAAUUGAAAUUUAACUUGUAGAAUCUUAAUCGCAUGGUGGUGGUGUAUUAAUUGCAGCAAAUAAUUAAAUAAAUUGUCAAUUAUUAAAUGUUGCUGUUGUUGUUGGAUUUGAACAAAUAUUUUUAAAACUUACAUAGUUAGUUCUGGAGUACCUCAAAGUUCACAUCUUGGACCCCUUUUAUUUACAUCAUUUAUAAUAAUGAUUUGUCUACUAUUUUUAAUAGCUCUGUAUAUACUAUAUAGUCAUCUAUUUUCCUAUUAUUCUAAAUUAUUUUCAUUCUUCAUUACCGCUAUAGAAACUAGUACCUACUAAUUUUUUAUAUAUUUUUUUGAUAUAAUAUAUAUAUAUGUGAUAUGUCAAAUUCAUGAAAUGACUAGCAGUAAUAUAUUUAGGUAACUUAAUAAUAAUAAUUUCUA